AUGAGUGUUUUCAAGUUCUCAGCAACCCUUUGUGAGGAGCUUAUGCACAUGACCAGAGACUUUUGGUGGGGAGAUGAUAAAGAUCGUCGACGUAUUCAUUGGUUGAGUUGGGAGAAACUUACAAAACGUAAAAGCCAAGGAGGUAUGGAAUUCAAAGAUCUUAAAGUUUUUAACCAGGCUCUUCUCGCUAGGCAAGCCUGA
rnacentral:rRNA from 1 species